UACGGAGGAGGCAAGCGUUAUCCGGAAUUAUUGGGCGUAAAGCGUCCGCAGGUGGCACCUCAAGUCUGCUGUCAAAGACCGGGGCUUAACCCCAGAAAGGCAGUGGAAACUGAAGUGCUAGAGUGCAGUAGGGGUAGAGGGAAUUCCCGGUGUAGCGGUGAAAUGCGUAGAGAUCGGAAAGAACACCAACGGCGAAAGCACUCUGCUGGGCCGACACUGACACUGAGAGACGAAAGCUAGGGGAGCGAAUGGG
rnacentral:rRNA from 1 species